rnacentral:ncRNA from 2 species
CAACUCUGGAAAGCAGGCGCCGACGCGCCUCGCCGACGGUGCAAGCCGCGCGCUGAGCGCGGCGAAGCUCUCAGGCUCAUGACAGAGGGGGA